UAGGGAAUAUUGGUAAUCUGGGAAACCGGGAACCAGCAACGCCGCGUGCACGAUGAGGGCCUUCGGGUCGUAAAGUGCUUUUUGAAGGGAUGAGGAAGGACAGUACCUUCAGAAUAAGCCUCGGCUAACUACGUGCCAGCAGCCGCGGUAAAACGUAGGAGGCGAGCGUUAUCCGGAUUUACUGGGCGUAAAGCGUGUGUAGGCGGUUUGAUAAGUUGGAUGUGAAAGCUGCCGGCUCAACUGGGAGAGGUCGUUCAAAACUAUCAGACUAGAGAGUGGUAGAGGGGGGUGGAAUUCCGCGUGUAGUGGUGAAAUGCGUAGAUAUGCGGAGGAACACCAGUGGCGAAAGCGGCCUCCUGGCCCAUUUCUGACGCUCAGACACGAAAGCUAAGGUAGCAAACGG
rnacentral:rRNA from 1 species